rnacentral:rRNA from 1 species
UACGGGGGGAGCAAGCGUUGUUCGGAUUUACUGGGCGUAAAGAGCGUGUAGGCGGCCAGACCGGUCCGUUGUGAAAACUGGAGGCUCAACCUUCAGACGUCGACGGAAACCGUCUGGCUAGAGUCCGGAAGAGGAGAGUGGAAUUCCUGGUGUAGCGGUGAAAUGCGCAGAUAUCAGGAAGAACACCGAUGGCGAAGGCAGCUCUCUGGGACGGUACUGACGCUGAGGAGCGAAAGCGUGGGGAGCGAACAGG